rnacentral:rRNA from 1 species
AUUGAACGCUGGCGGCAGGCCUAACACAUGCAAGUCGAGCGGAUGAAGGGAGCUUGCUCCUGGAUUCAGCGGCGGACGGGUGAGUAAUGCCUAGGAAUCUGCCUGGUAGUGGGGGAUAACGUCCGGAAACGGGCGCUAAUACCGCAUACGUCCCGAGGGAGAAAGUGGGGGAUCUUCGGACCUCACGCUAUCAGAUGAGCCUAGGUCGGAUUAGCUAGUUGGUGGGGUAAAGGCCUACCAAGGCGACGAUCCGUAACUGGUCUGAGAGGAUGAUCAGUCACACUGGAACUGAGACACGGUCCAGACUCCUACGGGAGGCAGCAGUGGGGAAUAUUGGACAAUGGGCGAAAGCCUGAUCCAGCCAUGCCGCGUGUGUGAAGAAGGUCUUCGGAUUGUAAAGCACUUUAAGUUUGGAGGAAGGGCAGUAAGUUAAUACCUUGCUGUUUUGACGUUACCAACAGAAUAAGCACCGGCUAACUUCGUG